rnacentral:lncRNA from 1 species
UCUGUGUGGGAGGUUCGUGAGCUCAGAUGUGAUGCCUGGAAGGGAAGAUGCAUCAGGGAGGGGAGCUGAAAGCUGUGUUCACCUGAGCAGGUGCCAGUUUGUUGCUUCCUUGAUUUGUCUUCCCUGAGCAGCUUUUCAAGCAGGGCAAAAAGAGGAGGGAAGCCUCUUUCUCUUUCUGCAGCAUCAUGCAGUUAGUUGGGAUGAGGGGGCUUCUGAGAGGAGAACAAAAACUGACCCAAGUCCAUGUGCUUGGCUGCUUUGAACAGCCUCCCAGCCAUGGCUAUUCCCAGGCACAGGCGCCUCUCUUUUUGACAUAACCUCCCCCAAGUGCUUAUGUGCUCCGGAGGCAGAAUCGGGCCUUUCCGCUCCCCUCUAGCACCCAGCUAACUGACUCCUGAAAGCACAUACGCCUUUGGGCUUUUCCUGGCUGUCAGCGGCCUGUUAUGGUAUGUAAAGCCUUGUCUGUCCCUCGCAUGGCCGAAUUACCCGUGAGCACACAGCAAAAAGGCUCUGCUUCACUCUAGACAGUAAUCUGGGUGCUCAGCAGCUGUUGGCUAAGAUGGAAGGAUUCAGACUUCCAGUCCUCAGAUUUAGUGUGGGUAAGAAUGUUUUAGAUUGGGGUUAAGCCUGUUGGGAAGCCCUCCAGCAACUCACUGAAAAGACGGUUAUAUUCCUUUCCUGAAAUAAUUGUUUUUUUUCCUUUAGUAGCCCUCCUGCUUCGCCUGCUCCAUGGCAGUGUAGCUGUUCGUGACAGAGCUGGGUGUGUUGCUGCAUCGCUCUCAGGCCUGUUUUUUGGGACCACAUCCAGCAGCAAUAUCUUUGAGUUGCAGUUUAUCACUGAUAGUAGAGCAGGAAUCAGCAUUGUGGAGCAGCAGCCAUCUGGACUUGGAGCUAGUCAGCUUGAGGUUGUAUCCCAGCUCAGCAUGAAGCCUCAGGAGUAGAGCAAACUUCUGCUGGGAAGCUAUGAAGGUGAGCCAAGACAGCAAAGCUCUCUAAGAAGCAGCUUCCUCAAACUGUGGGCUUAUAUACACACCCCUGGGGGUGGGGCAGCUUAGCACUGCUCAGGCUUGGGCCAGGUGGGACUCCAGGAUCAUCACAGGCCUGCUUGGGAAUUGGAGUGGGGAGGGCCCAGGCUCUUAAAGGAGCAGCUGGAAGCAGGAUAUUUUUGUGUGCUUGCACACCCCAUCUAUUUGCAGGUACAUCUAAGAACACAAUGCCAGUUCUGGAGAAACUUCUUACAGGUACCCUUUUGGGAUGUCUUAAGGAAAGUUCAUUUUAUAGUGAGGGAGAGGGCUAAAUAAGCCUGGCUUUUGUGACUCUACUCCCCUGGACUUAUACCUUUGUAUUUAUCUUCAAAGCUGUUUCCAUCCCUGUUUCAGCCUCCUUUGUAACUGCUGUCUGUGAGCCAAAACAUGGGGAAACUCUGGGGUUGAGGA